ensembl:misc_RNA 7SK 7SK RNA
GGAUGUGAGAGCAAUCUGGCUGAGACAUCUGUCUCCCCAUUGAUCUCCAGGGCUGAUUCGGCUGGUCUGGCUGGCUAGGCGGGUGUCCCCUUCCUCCCUCACCACUCCAUGUGCGUCCCUCCCGAAGCUGCGUGCUCUGUGGAAGAUGACGGCCUUCCCUGAGACAGACCAGUCUUCAGUGAAGGGUAUAGGAGUAGCUGUGUUCCCCUGCUAGAACCUCCAUACAAGCUCUCAAAUUAUUAAAUUUAUUUUUUAUUUAAGAAAGGAUAAGUUAACAAAACCGUAGUUAACUGUAGUUAAAGGAUAAGUU